rnacentral:lncRNA from 1 species
GCUGGGAUUACAGGCGUGAGCCACUGCGGCCGGCCCCAAAAUAGGCUCAUCUUUUGAUGUUGCCCACAAGUGAAUAAAGUUAAGGCAAAAGGUAGGUGUAGUGUAGUUGGCCCUGGAAGCCCGUCUUUUGGCCUUCACCUUACUUUAGGACGAAGUAGGGUCUGUCCAGUGGCCUACAAGAGGAAGUAAUUCUGCUUUUUCCAAAGUUGCCUGGAGCAUAUUUUCAAAAAUGAAGACUCUCACUUUAACUAUAUGAAGUCUGGUGCACACUAUUUUGCAUGCUGUGAUUACUGGUUAUUUAAGCUUCAUCAAUGAAAAGAAACAGCAGAGCAAGAGUCAAGCUUUAGUCUAAUAAGAAAUGAGAAACAGAAGCUGUCAGCCACCGAAUGGGAACGAAGGGGUAGUGAGGCAAGGACAUGCCACCUUCCUACUCUACAACUCAGAACCUCACAAGGGAGGCUGUUUUGCCUCUCUAGUUCCAUGUUAAGCUGGUUUUAAUCUCCAUCUUGAUUGCCUUCCUUCCAAAUGGAUGGAUGUAUUCAGAGAGAUUGUCCUGAUCCAUCCUGAUUGUCUGCCAAUGUAUCUGCUGAUGUGGGUAGGGCCACCUGGCAUACACUUGCAGGGCCAUGCUCUUGUGAAUCAGACAGUCACAUUGCAUGGCAAAGGAGACCUGCAUUUGAUGUUCAAAAAUGAGAGAGCCCAAGGAGCCUCAGCUCUUGGUUGCAACACUGGGGACAAACUAUGAAUAAUAAAGUGAGUGACACAAGGGCUUAAGGUCAGGAACUCCUGUGGCAUUUUGGUUUAGCUCAGUUGGAGGUGUGGGAGGAGUGUGAUGGAGCUGAACCCAGAUUACGGAGGAAGCUUCAUCAUGCCAGACCGAGCUGAAGCCAUUGAGUGGCUUUCAACAGGGAAUAACAUGACUGUACUGAAAGCGGCAGGGCUGACAUUGGGGAGACCAGUUCUGAUGACCUUGCAGCAGUCCAGAAGAAAUGAUGGUGCCCUGAACUGUGUUAGCAGCAGUGGAAGAGGGUGGACCCAAGAGCUGUGGGGAGGAAGAACCUGUAGACUUGACGACCACCUAGCUAACAUAUUCAUGGCAAUGAGUCUUGGAAGUUCUACAGCGCACCUGGAGGGAUGGUGGGAUCAGCGAGGCCAACACUGAGAGAAACGCAGGCGUGGAUGCCCUGGCACAACCUCGCAGCAGAUCCUAAUUCCUGGGAGGACCCCUUUCCUUCCCACAUUUGACAAAGACAGUCUACGCAGAUUCCCUAGAAAAACCUCCUCGCUGCCCACAGGUUGCUUUUUUUUUUUGUUCCCCAUCAGAGCAGCCUGCUGGAACUCAGCAAGGCAGUGGACAAUCCAAUGGUCGUACCAGCGAUUGUCCAUACCUGUGGGAUAACUAGGAAGACAGUUAUUUUUGUGUGAGUGCCUGUGUGCUCUGGGGAGAGAUGCCAGUGAGUGAAACUGGAAUGAACAACCUGACCUCGAGGAAAAAAAUGACCUUAUCGUUAACAAAAUAGUGAAUGCUUCCACAGUGCCUGUUUGUACAGAGUGCUUCACAAGCAUGAGCUCAUGUGAUUUCCUCAUCACUUGCUUUUCCAGCUGUAACAGGUUUGGAGAAGGCAGCUGUGGAUUCUCUUUAGCUUUUGUUUGAGAGGUUUCUCUCUUCCUGGUCAAGAAGCCACAUGACCCGAAUGUAACUAGGACGGUGUUGUUGAGCACUUGCUUGUGGACCCCUCUGGGGUCUGCAGAUGACUGGCAGGAUGCUGGAGCCUGCAGGUUUUGCUAGUUUCCUACUUGCAUGGAUCCUUUCUUGCCCCAGCUCUGGAUAGGUUCCCAGGCUUCAUUAGAAUUCAUGGACGGUUAUCUGCAAAGACUUCUGGACAAGAAGCACAUCCAGUACUUCCUAAAAGAGCAGAUGGGACCAUAGCAAGAAUCUCUUUGCUGCCCGACACAUGAGAAGCGGCCUGCCCAGCUGGCACUUGCUCUCCUACAACCAGCCUCAACAAGGCAUCGAGCUGCCUGCACCAGUGACAGCAAAGCAGCACCUGCCUGUCUGCAGCUCAGGGAUUUUCUCUCGCCCUCAGUCGUACAGCCUUAGCCUUCCAGGUGGUUUCUAGGGCUGGCACAGAAAAAUGGAUCUGUGGCAGUCAUGGUUCCUGGACUUCUAGAAAUGACUAUAUUCCAGGAGAUGCAGAAAUGCUACUGAACAUGGAUGUGCAGCACCACAGAAAACCUAUGUGGGAUCCUGAUCACCAGUGGAAGCCCGGCUCCUUAGAGAGCUAAGAUGGAACAAAGAAAAUUCCCAGGCCCGGGAACCACCAGAGGUACUACCUUAUUUGCUCAAAAGGUAGGUUAUGCCCAUAAGGGGCAGACCACGCAUGGCUCUACCUCUCUCUCUCUCUCUACACACACACACACUCUCUCUCUCUCUCUCUCUCUCCUGCUUUUAUUGUGCCAUUUUGGAUCUGUAGGAACUUGGGCUUGAAGAGCUACAUGAUCUGAAAUUCAGCAUGUAUCAGCUAGUAGGUUUAGGUUAUGUCCCGAGAGGGAUGUGCCUCCAGGUGGCUGUGACCUCACUUUCACAGUUCAUGCAGAGGAAAGUCAUCCUUGUGGUCCUGGGAGAGCUGGUCUGUUGCUGCCCAGGUUUGCCUGCACUGCCAGCAUGGCUCUCACAGCCCCCCAAAUUGUUUUCCUCUGAAAGGUUCAAAUCUUGACUCUGAAACAGACCUCAUAAUGAAACACCUAUGGGAAAAGUCUA